rnacentral:rRNA from 1 species
CCUACGGGAGGCAGCAGUGAGGAAUAUUGGUCAAUGGGCGCGAGCCUGAACCAGCCAAGUAGCGUGAAGGAUGAAGGCCCUACGGAUUGUAAACUUCUUUUAUAAGGGAAUAAAGUGAGGCACGUGUGCCUUUUUGUAUGUACUUUAUGAAUAAGGAUCGGCUAACUCCGUGCCAGCAGCCGCGGUAAUACGGAGGAUCCGAGCGUUAUCCGGAUUUAUUGGGUUUAAAGGGUGCGUAGAUGGGUUGUUAAGUCAGUUGUGAAAGUUUGCGGCUCAACCGUAAAAUUGCAAUUGAUACUGGCAGCCUUGAGUACAGUUGAGGUAGGCGGAAUUCGUGGUGUAGCGGUGAAAUGCUUAGAUAUCACGAUGAACUCCGAUUGCGAAGGCAGCUUACUAAGCUGCCACUGACAUUGAUGCUCGAAAGUGUGGGUAUCAAACAGGAUUAGAUACCCUAGUAGUC